rnacentral:rRNA from 1 species
UGGGGAAUAUUGCACAAUGGGCGCAAGCCUGAUGCAGCCAUGCCGCGUGUGUGAAGAAGGCCUUCGGGUUGUAAGGCACUUUCAGCGAGGAGGAAGGUGGUGAGCUUAAUACGCUCAUCAAUUGACGUUACUCGCAGAAGAAGCACCGGCUAACUCCGUGCCAGCAGCCGCGGUAAUACGGAGGGUGCAAGCGUUAAUCGGAAUUACUGGGCGUAAAGCGCACGCAGGCGGUUUGUUAAGUCAGAUGUGAAAUCCCCGGGCUCAACCUGGGAACUGCAUUUGAAACUGGCAAGCUAGAGUCUCGUAGAGGGGGGUAGAAUUCCAGGUGUAGCGGUGAAAUGCGUAGAGAUCUGGAGGAAUACCGGUGGCGAAGGCGGCCCCCUGGACGAAGACUGACGCUCAGGUGCGAAAAGCGUGGGGAGCAAAACAGGAUUAGAUACCCUGGUAGUCCACGCUGUAAACGAUGUCGAUUUUGGAGGUUGUGCCCUUGAGGCGUGGCUUCCGGAGCUAACGCGUUAAAUCGACCGCCUGGGGAGUACGGCCGCAAGGUU